rnacentral:rRNA from 1 species
CCCUUAGAUGUUCUGGGCCGCACGCGUGCUACACUGAGUGGAUCAGCGGGUCAGGUUGCGCGAAAGUGUUUCCUAAUCUUGAAAUCCGCUCGUGAUGGGGAUUGACGGUUGCAAUUUUCCGUCAUGAACGAGGAAUACCUUGUAAGCGCGGGUCAUCAUCCCGCGCUGAAUACGUCCCUGCCCUUUGUACACACCGCCCGUCGCUCCUACCGAUUGAGUGGUCCGGUGAGGCUUUGGGAUCUGAGUGGAAAGAGCGUUUCGCUGUUUCUGCCCGGAAAACUCAGUCGAACCUUAUCAUUUAGAGGAAGGAGAAGUCGUAACA